rnacentral:rRNA from 1 species
AACGAACGCUGGCGGCAUGCCUAACACAUGCAAGUCGAACGAAACCUUCGGGUCUUGUGGCGCACGGGUGCGUAACGCGGGGGAAGCUGCCCUUAGGUUCGGUAUAACUCCCCGAAAGGUGUGCUAAUACCGGUUAAUGUCUUCGGACCAAAGAUCUAUCGCCUUUGGAUGGGCCCUCGUUGGAUUCGCUAGUUGGUAGGGUAAAAGCAGACCAACGGCACGAUCCUUAGCUGGUCUGAGAGGAUGAUAAUCCACACUGGGCAUGAGGCACGGACCAGAAUCCUACGGGAGGGAGCAGUGGGGAAUAUUGGACAAUGGGGGAAAGCCUGAUCCAGCAAUGCCGCGUGAGUGAUGAAGGCGUUAGGGUUGUAAAGCUCUUUUAGCCGGGAUGAUAAUGACAGUACCGGGAGAAUAAGCACCGGCUAACUCCGUG